UAGGGAAUCUUCGGCAAUGGACGGAAGUCUGACCGAGCAACGCCGCGUGAGUGAAGAAGGUUUUCGGAUCGUAAAGCUCUGUUGUAAGAGAAGAACGAGUGUGAGAGUGGAAAGUUCACACUGUGACGGUAUCUUACCAGAAAGGGACGGCUAACUACGUGCCAGCAGCCGCGGUAAUACGUAGGUCCCGAGCGUUGUCCGGAUUUAUUGGGCGUAAAGCGAGCGCAGGCGGUUAGAUAAGUCUGAAGUUAAAGGCUGUGGCUUAACCAUAGUAGGCUUUGGAAACUGUUUAACUUGAGUGCAAGAGGGGAGAGUGGAAUUCCAUGUGUAGCGGUGAAAUGCGUAGAUAUAUGGAGGAACACCGGUGGCGGAAGCGGCUCUCUGGCUUGUAACUGACGCUGAGGCUCGAAAGCGUGGGGAGCAAACAGGAUUAGAUACCCUGGUAGUCCACGCUGUAAACGAUGAGUGCUAGGUGUUAGACCCUUUCCGGGGUUUAGUGCCGUAGCUAACGCAUUAAGCACUCCGCCUGGGGAGUACGACCGCAAGGUUG
rnacentral:rRNA from 1 species